GACGAACGCUGGCGGCGUGCUUAACACAUGCAAGUCGAACGGAAAGGCCCUGCUUUUGUGGGGUGCUCGAGUGGCGAACGGGUGAGUAACACUUGAGUAACCUGCCCUUGACUUUGGGAUAACUUCAGGAAACUGGUGCUAAUACCGGAUAGGAGCUCCUGCUGCAUGUGGGGGGUUGGAAAGUUUCGUCGGUUGGGGAUGGACUCGCGGCUUAUCAGGUUGUUGGUGGGGUAGUGGCUUACCAAGGCUUUGACGGGUAGCCGGCCUGAGAGGGUGACCGGCGACAUUGGGACUGAGAUACGGCGCAGACUCCUACGGGAGGCAGCAGUGGGGAAUAUUGCACAAUGGGCGGAAGCCUGAUGCAGCAACGCCGCGUGCGGGAUGACGGCCUUCGGGUUGUAAACCGCUUUCGCCUGUGACGAAGCGUGAGUGACGGUAAUGGGUAAAGAAGCACCGGCUAACUACGUG
rnacentral:rRNA from 1 species